AGAUUGAACGCUAGCGGGAUGCUUUACACAUGCAAGUCGAACGGCAGCGCGGACUUCGGUCUGGCGGCGAGUGGCGAACGGGUGAGUAAUAUAUCGGAACGUGCCCAGUAGCGGGGGAUAACUACGCGAAAGCGUGGCUAAUACCGCAUACGCCCUACGGGGGAAAGGGGGGAUCGCAAGACCUCUCACUAUUGGAGCGGCCGAUAUCGAGUA
rnacentral:rRNA from 1 species